GAAGGUAUAGCUCAAGUGGUAGAGCACAUGCUUAGCAUGCAUGAGGUCCUGGGUUCAAUCCCCAGUACCUCUU
rnacentral:tRNA from 1 species